GCCAGUGUGGUAUAAUGGUUUGAAUGUUGGACUAUUACUCUGGAGAUCAGUGUUUGAAUCCCCACUGGGC
rnacentral:tRNA from 1 species